GGGUGGGUUUAUAAAAAUCUAUACACAGACAUGUUAACAUGAAAUGCAAAAAUAUAUAUAUAAAUGAGCUCAUAUACAUUGUUGUUUUUAUAUACAUGUAUAAGAAAUGGAAAUGUAGUUUCUGAAGAACAAAUGAUAAUGAAUACAAGUACCAGUAACCAGAAUGUUUAAAAAAAAAAUGAAAUAGAUACUUUGUAUUUAUAUUUCAAAGAUUAAUUUUUACAUUAUAAUGUAAUGGUUGUAAAAUUUUGUUUGUAUUUGAAUGAAUGUUGUGAGCUUGCUUUGUAUUUUAAAGAAACAUUAUGUUUACAGUGUAAUUAAUUGAUCCCGAUGGCAUUUGAUUUUUUUAUCGAUAUAUACAUUGGAACACAUUAUUGUAUUGGAAAGCACAGGUUGGUCUUGCUUCUACUAUCAACUAUAAAGUUUCAAGAUCAUUUACAUUGUACAUACAUAUACCAAAGAAAUACAUGUAGUUAUUUUUCAGUUUUUGCUAAAUGUGUAAUAAAUACAUUUCAUUAUCUUUUACAGAAAGCUGAGUAGUAUUUUUCAAGUACACAAUUAAUGUAGUACUUGUAGUUUAUGUACAAUCAUUGAAAAUGCUUUUGUAUUGUUUAACAUUUAAGGAAUUAGCAGAAAUAUUUUGUGUUCAGUUAAUUAGCAUCUCAUAGGAAAUCAGUCUGCAAUACUGUAUGUUUAUUCAUGAUUUACUGGAAAAUGUUCCCAAUGCAGGUCCUGGUAGAAGGCAUGCAGACAAGUUCAUAUAUCAUCAAAGCAUUUCUCCAAAUAUACAUUAUGUUAAGUUUUGAUAUGAUUGUGUAUGAUUUUGUAUUAAAUUUUGAUGACAAUUCAGUUACAAAGUACAUGUAUGAAUCAAG
rnacentral:misc_RNA from 1 species